rnacentral:rRNA from 1 species
UACGAAGGGGCUAGCGUUGCUCGGAAUCACUGGGCGUAAAGGGUGCGUAGGCGGGUUUUUAAGUCAGAGGUGAAAUCCUGGAGCUCAACUCCAGAACUGCCUUUGAUACUGGGAAUCUUGAGUAUGGAAGAGGUGAGUGGAACUGCGAGUGUAGAGGUGAAAUUCGUAGAUAUUCGCAAGAACACCAGUGGCGAAGGCGGCUCACUGGUCCAUAACUGACGCUGAGGCACGAAAGCGUGGGGAGCAAACAGG